GACGAACGCUGGCGGCGUGCUUAACACACGCAAGUCGAACGGUAAGGCCCUUCGGGGUACACGAGUGGCGAACGGGUGAGUAACACGUGGGUGAUCUGCCCUGCACUUCGGGAUAAGCCUGGGAAACUGGGUCUAAUACCGGAUAGGACCACUGCCUGCAUGGGUGGUGGUGGAAAGCUUUUGCGGUGUGGGAUGGGCCCGCGGCCUAUCAGCUUGUUGGUGGGGUGAUGGCCUACCAAGGCGACGAAGGGUAGCCGGCCUGGGAGGGUGACCGGCCACACUGAGACUGAGACACGGCCCAGACUCCUACGGGAGGCAGCAGUGGGGAAUAUUGCACAAUGGGCGCAAGCCUGAUGCAGCGACGCCGCGUGAGGGAUGACGGCCUUCGGGUUGUAAACCUCUUUCAGCACCGACGAAGCGCAAGUGACGGUAGGUGCAGAAGAAGGACCGGCCAACUACGUGCCAGCCGCCGCCGUAA
rnacentral:rRNA from 1 species